CCCAUAGUCCCCAAUUUUUUGUUUUUUACCACUAAAAAUAGUUUGCCUUUUUCACUUCUUCUGGCCUGGAGAGUUAAGCGCAUCUGUAGGGUCACCAACACCAGCCACCAAUGAAUACAUUAACACAGCCAACAUGACUUAGAAACACCUAACUCAAAAGAAUAACAAACUUGUGUUUGGUAGUUUUCCCAGCCAUCUCAUUGGGAAUGUACCACUAAGUGAUGAGGUAUAAACCCAUAAUUCAGAAGUAGUCACAUGUUCACUCACAAGGUUAAUGAUAGUAUCUACCAACAAGUUCUGCUGCCUUCUUCAGAGGAAACCCUGACUGUAAAUAAAUACACCUUAAAGGAACAAGCGGAGUUCCUGCCUGCAUCUUAGCCUGCACAAGCAUUUUACCUUUGAGAUAUUAAGUGCUCUGAUCCACCUUUGCUAUCAGAGAGAGAAGGAUUCCCUCACUUCUGAUACCAUGUAAUGGGAGGACAGGAACACAAAGAACCAUGUUGUAAGCAGCAACUGGAGAACUCCCUGACCAGGAAAAGAUCCCCCACUUGUUAAGUCCCCAACUGCAGCACAUUUUGAUCGUC